rnacentral:rRNA from 1 species
UAACACGGUCUUCUGGAUGCUGACGAGUGGCGAACGGGUGAGUAAUACAUCGGAACGUGCCCGAGAGUGGGGGAUAACGGAGCGAAAGCUUUGCUAAUACCGCAUACGAUCUACGGAUGAAAGCAGGGGACCGCAAGGCCUUGCGCUCAUGGAGCGGCCGAUGGCAGAUUAGGUAGUUGGUGGGAUAAAAGCUUACCAAGCCGACGAUCUGUAGCUGGUCUGAGAGGACGACCAGCCACACUGGGACUGAGACACGGCCCAGACUCCUACGGGAGGCAGCAGUGGGGAAUUUUGGACAAUGGGCGCAAGCCUGAUCCAGCCAUGCCGCGUGCAGGAUGAAGGCCUUCGGGUUGUAAACUGCUUUUGUACGGAACGAAAAGACUCUGGUUAAUACCUGGGGUCCAUGACGGUACCGUAAGAAUAAGCACCGGCUAACUACGUGCCAGCAGCCGCGGUAAUACGUAGGGUGCAAGCGUUAAUCGGAAUUACUGGGCGUAAAGCGUGCGCAGGCGGUUAUAUAAGACAGAUGUGAAAUCCCCGGGCUCAACCUGGGAACUGCAUUUGUGACUGUAUAGCUAGAGUACGGUAGAGGGGGAUGGAAUUNNGCGUGUAGCAGUGAAAUGCGUAGAUAUGCGGAGGAACACCGAUGGCGAAGGCAAUCCCCUGGACCUGUACUGACGCUCAUGCACGAAAGCGUGGGGAGCAAACAGGAUUAGAUACCCCUGGUAG